rnacentral:rRNA from 1 species
GACGAACGCUGGCGGCGUGCCUAAUACAUGCCAGUCGAGCGCUGAAGGGUGGUGCUUGUACCAACUGGAUGAGCAGCGAACGGGUGAGUAACGCGUGGGUAAUCUGCCUAUGAGAGUGGGAUAACAUCUGGAAACGAAUGCUAAUACCGCAUAAAAACUUUAAACACAAGUUUCAAGUUUGAAAGAUGCAAUUGCUUCAAUCAAUGAUGAGCUCGCGUGGUGUUAGCUAGUUGGUGAGGUAAAGGGCCACCAAGGCGAUAAUACGUAGACGACCUGAGAGGGGGAGAGGCCACACUGGGACUGAGAGACGGCCCAAACACCCACAGGAGGCAGAGGUGGGGGAACUUCGGCGAAGGGCGAGAGUCCGACCGGGCGAAGCGGCGGGAGUGAGAAGAGGUCUCGGGUCGUAAAAAUCUCUUGGUAGAGAAGAGAGUUGGUGAGUGUGGAAAGCUGAUCAAGUGGCGGUAACUACACAAGAAGGGACGGCUAACUACGGG